GGCGCUGUAGCUCAAGUGGUAGAGCGCUUGCCUUGCAUGCUCGAGGCCCUGGGUUCGAUUCCUCAGCACUA
rnacentral:tRNA from 1 species